CUACGGGCGGCUGCAGUGGGGAAUAUUGCACAAUGGAGGAAACUCUGAUGCAGCAACGCCGCGUGGAGGAUGACACUUUUCGGAGCGUAAACUCCUUUUAUAUAGGAAGAAGAUGACGGUACUAUAUGAAUAAGCGCCGGCUAACUCCGUGCCAGCAGCCGUGGUAAUACGGAGGGCGCAAGCGUUACUCGGAAUCACUGGGCGUAAAGAGCGUGUAGGCGGAUUAAAAAGUCAGAAGUGAAAUCCUAUAGCUUAACUAUAGAACUGCUUCUGAAACUCUUAAUCUAGAAUAUGGGAGAGGUAGAUGGAAUUUCUGGUGUAGGGGUAAAAUCCGUAGAGAUCAGAGGGAAUACCGAUUGCGAAGGCGAUCUACUAGAACAUUAUUGACGCUGAGACGCGAAAGCGUGGGGAGCAAACAGGAUUAGAUACCCUCGUAGUC
rnacentral:rRNA from 1 species